rnacentral:rRNA from 1 species
CAAUUAGAGGGCAAGUCUGGUGCCAGCAGCCGCGGUAAUUCCAGCUCUAAUAGCGUAUAUUAAUAUUGUUGCAGUUAAAAGCUCGUAGUUGAAAUUUGGAACUUUAUUAUAUUGGUUUACCUUUUGGUGAACUAUAUAAUGGGUUUCUUCCUACUAGAGUUCGAUUCUGUUCUUAACUGAAUGGAGUAGCUAUCUCUCGGGGUAGUCAGUUGGUUAUUAUAUCUCCACUAAUGAGCGGAGAGGGGUAAAACCUUCAAAGCAAGUUAUGUGGAUCAAGGUAUAGUGAUUAAUUGGAGUUCUAGUUCAUUUACUUUGAGAAAAUUAGAGUGUUUAAAGCAGCCUCUUGGGGCACUGAAUACAUUAGCAUGGGAUAAUAAAAUAGGAUCUUCACAAUAUAUUUUAUUGGUUUAAAUUGCGUAUGAAGAUAAUGAUUAAUAGGG